AUGUCAUCACAGCAGUCCAAACUGAAGUGUUUGGGACAGAGGAGGACAAAAGGACUCAGGAAACAGGAAUGAUACUGUGCAAAAACACAUCCUAUACCUGCAGAUACAAUGAACAUUUGAGAUAUUACAUUACUUUAAAAAUAACAAGUGCGAGCAGAUUUAGGUAUCGAUCCUGUGUUUUCUAAGAGGGUUCUGUCAAAAGGAGGAGCUUAAGACCGGUCUGCUGUGAAACAGAUUAGUUGAGUGAUAAUCAGCAUCAGAUCACUGAGACAAGCAGAGACUACCAUCAUGUUCACUUGUGUGCUUCUACUGCUGACUUUAACUCAAGGAAACAGAGCUAAAGAUGUAAUCACCCCAUACAGUGAUGCAGUAUUUUCCACUGAGACUGAGAGCGUCAAACUCUCUUGUAACUACACUGGUUCUGUUGAUGCUCUUCACUGGUAUCGACAAUAUGAAGGUUCAGCUCCACAGUUCCUCAUCCUGGAUUAUUCAGGAUAUGUUACUCAUGCAGAUCCUCCAGUUCCUGGAAUAUCCAUCAGUCCCAGAAAAGAAGAUAACAGUGUUGAUCUGAUCAUCUCCUCUGCUGCUGAAUCAGACUCUGCUCUGUAUUUCUGUGCUCUGCAGCCCACAGUGACAGGAAACACUCAACACACCGUACAAGAACCUCACUGACUCUAUAUUCUCAAAAAGAGAUGUCAAAACUAAAAAUAGUAUCCACACAGAGGAAUAUUACAUUCAAAUAUACAUUUUUCACCUUUUUAGUAUUUCUUACUUAUAUGUAAUGUAUUCUGAUUGUUGAAUGACACCACUGAUCAAGUAUUACUGUAUAACUAGAACUAUUAUUUGAAAAUAUAUUAAUAAAAAAAUGAACGUUUAUAAAUCUUUACAUUUUUCAGAUGUUAUAUCUUUGAUAGACUGUUGGCUGUGGAUGUUGUCAAUGGAAGACUAAA